rnacentral:rRNA from 1 species
AACGUGGUGAAAUGGAUCAUGGCUCAGAUUGAACGCUGGCGGCAGGCCUGCUAACACAUGCAAGUCGAACGGUAACAGGAAGCAGCUUGCUGCUUCGCUGAUUUGCGCACGGCAGUAAAUGUCUGGGAAACCCGCCUGAUGAGGGGGAUAACUACUGAAACGGUGGCUAAUACCGCAUAACGUCGCAAGACCAAAGAGGGGGACCUCGGGCCUCUUUGCCAUCAGAUGUGCCCAGAUGGGAUUAGCUUGUUGGUGAGGUAACGGCUCACCGCACAUCCCUAGCCAAGCCUGAGAGGAUGACCAGCCACACCUGGAACUGAGACACGGUCCAGACCCUACGGAGGCAGCAGUGGGGAAUAUUGCACAAUGGGCGCAAGUCUGAUGCAGCCAUGCCGCGUGUGGCGAAGAAGGCCUCGGGUUGUAAAGUACUUCAGCGGGGAGUGGAAGGUGUUGUGGUUAAUAACCGCAGCAAUUGACGUUACCUCGCAGAAGAAGCACCGGUUAACCUCGUGCCAGCAGCCGCGGUAAUACGGAGGGUGCAAGGUUAAUCGAAUUACUGGGCGUAAAGCGCACGCAGGCGGCCCCUGCCUGGCCGGAUGAAAUCCGGCUCAACCUCGGGAACUGCAUUCGAAACUGGCUUGAGUCUUGUAGAGGCAGAAUUCCAGUAGCGGUGAAAUGCGGUGAGGAACCCUGAGGAAUACCGGUGGCGAAGGCGGCCCCCGGACAAAGACUGACGCCUGUGUGCGAAAGCGUGGGGAGCAAACAGGAUUAGAUACCCCUCGGGUAGUCCACGCCGUAAACGAUGUCUACUUGGAGCAAGGUUGUGCCCUUUGAGGCGUGGCUUCCUAUUAACGCGUUAAGUACGACCGCCCGGGAGUACGGCCGCAAGGUUAAAACUCAAAUGAAUUGACGGGGCCCGCACAAGUGGUGGAGCAUGGUUUACCCGAUGCAAGAAGAACCUUACCCGGUCUUGACAUCCACGGAAGUUUUCGCAGAUGAGAAUGCCGUGGAACCGUGAGACAGGUGGUGCCGCAUGGCUGUCGUCAGCCCGUGUUGUGAAAUGUUAAGUUAAGUCCCGCAACGAGCGCAACCCUUAUCCUUUGUUGCCAGCGACAGGUCGGGGAACUCAAAGGAGACUGCCAGUGAUAAACUGGAGGAAGGUGGGAUGACGUCAUCAUCAUGGCCCAUGACCGUGGCUACACCACGUGCUACAAUGGCGCGCAUACAAAGAGAAGCGACCCCGGCGAGAGCAAGGACCCUCAUAAAGUGCGGCCGUAGUCCGGAUUGAGUCCGCAACCUCGACCUAUGAAGUCGUGGAAUCGCUAGUAACAAAGAUCAGAAUGCCACGGUGAAUAAUGUUCCGGCCUUGUACACACCGCCCGUCACACCAUGGGAGUGGCUGCAAAGAAGUAGGUAGCUUAACCUUCGGGAGGGCGCUACCACUUUGUGAUUCAUGACUGGGUGAAGUCGUAAAUAAGGUAUCCGUAAAACCCUGCGGUUGAUCACCACCUUA